UACGGAGGGGGCUAGCAUUGUCCGGAAUUACUGGGCGUAAAGGGCGCGCAGGCGGCGAGGCAAGUUGGGCGUGAAAGCCCCGGGCUCAACCCGGGAGGUGCGUCCGAUACUGUCUUGCUUGAGACCGGGAGAGGGCAGUGGAAUUCCCAGUGUAGAGGUGAAAUUCGUAGAUAUUGGGAAGAACACCGGCGGCGAAGGCGGCUGCCUGGCCCGGUUCUGACGCUGAGGCGCGAAAGCGUGGGGAGCAAACAGG
rnacentral:misc_RNA from 1 species